UACGUAGGGUGCAAGCGUUAAUCGGAAUUACUGGGCGUAAAGCGUGCGCAGGCGGUUAUGUAAGACAGAUGUGAAAUGCCCGGGCUUAACCUGGGAACUGCAUUUGUGACUGCAUGGCUAGAGUUUGGCAGAGGGGGGUAGAAUUCCACGUGUAGCAGUGAAAUGCGUAGAUAUGUGGAGGAACACCGAUGGCGAAGGCAGCCCCCUGGGUCAAGACUGACGCUCAUGCACGAAAGGCGUGGGGAGCAAACAGGAUUA
rnacentral:rRNA from 1 species